rnacentral:rRNA from 1 species
AUUGAACGCUGGCGGCAUGCCUUACACAUGCAAGUCGAACGGCAGCAUGAUCUAGCUUGCUAGAUUGAUGGCGAGUGGCGCACGGGUGAGUAAUACAUCGGAACGUGCCCUGUAGUGGGGGAUAACUAGUCGAAAGAUUAGCUAAUACCGCAUACGACCUGAGGGUGAAAGUGGGGGACCGCAAGGCCUCAUGCUAUAGGAGCGGCCGAUGUCUGAUUAUCUAGUUGGUGAGGUAAAGGCUCACCAAGGCGACGAUCAGUAGCUGGUCUGAGAGGACGAGCAGCCACACUGGGACUGAGACACGGCACAGACUCCUACGGGAGGCAGCAGUGGGGAAUUGUGGACAAUGGGAGAAAGCAUGAUACAGCAAUGCCGCGUGUGUGAAGAAGGCAUUCGGGUUGUAAAGAAAUUUUGUCCGGAAAGAAAUGGCUCUGGUUAAUACCUGGGGUCGAUGACGGUACCGGAAGAAUAAGGACCGGCUAACUACGUG